GCUAACUACGUGCCAGCAGCCGCGGUAAUACGUAGGGCGCAAGCGUUGUCCGGAAUUAUUGGGCGUAAAGAGCUCGUAGGCGGUCUGUCGCGUCUGGUGUGAAAACCCAAGGCUCAACCUUGGGCUUGCAUCGGGUACGGGCAGACUAGAGUGCGGUAGGGGUGACUGGAAUUCCUGGUGUAGCGGUGGAAUGCGCAGAUAUCAGGAGGAACACCGAUGGCGAAGGCAGGUCACUGGGCCGCAACUGACGCUGAGGAGCGAAAGCAUGGGUAGCGAACAGGAUUAGAUACCCCUGUAGUC
rnacentral:rRNA from 1 species